rnacentral:rRNA from 1 species
AUGAACGCUGGCGGCGUGCCUAAUACAUGCAAGUCGAGCGAACAGACGAGGAGCUUGCUCCUUUGACGUUAGCGGCGGACGGGUGAGUAACACGUAGGUAACCUACCUAUAAGACUGGGAUAACUUCGGGAAACCGGAGCUAAUACCGGAUAAUAUUUCGAACCGCCUGGUUCGAUAGUGAAAGAUGGCUUUGCUAUCACUUAUAGAUGGACCUGCGCCGUAUUAGCUAGUUGGUAAGGUAACGGCUUACCAAGGCAACGAUACGUAGCCGACCUGAGAGGGUGAUCGGCCACACUGGAACUGAGACACGGUCCAGACUCCUACGGGAGGCAGCAGUAGGGAAUCUUCCGCAAUGGGCGAAAGCCUGACGGAGCAACGCCGCGUGAGUGAUGAAGGUCUUCGGAUCGUAAAACUCUGUUAUUAGGGAAGAACAAACGUGUAAGUAACUGUGCACGUCUUGACGGUACCUAAUCAGAAAGCCACGGCUAACUACGUG